rnacentral:sRNA from 1 species
GGAUGGGGGGGGGCGAUCUGGCUGGCUAGGCGGGUGUCCCCUUCCUCCCUCGUCACUCCAUGUGCAUCCCUCCCGAAGCUGUGCGCUCGGUCCGAAGAGGAUGACCUUCCCAGAAUAGAGGAGGACCGGUCUUUGGUCAAGGGUACACGAGUAGCUGUGUUCCCCUGCUAGAACCUCCAAACAAGCUGAUUCUUAUUCUAUAAAAUGUCCCAAGUGAACUGUGCGUUCCAGUUAAUGUUCCUU